rnacentral:rRNA from 1 species
UUAUGGCUCAGGAUGAACGCUAGCGGCAGGCUAACACAUGCAAGUCGAGGGGCGAGCGGGAUGUAGCAAUACAUGCCGGCGACCGGCGGAUGGGUGCGUAACGCGUAUGCAACCUACCUUAUACAGGGGAAUAACCUUUCGAAAGGGAGACUAACACCCCAUGGUAUUGAUUUAAGGCAUCUUAGAUUAAUUAAAUAUUUAUAGGUAUAAGAUGGGCAUGCGUAUGAUUAGCUAGUUGGUAAGGUAACGGCUUACCAAGGCGACGAUCAUUAGGGGUUCUGAGAGGAAGGUCCCCCACACUGGUACUGAGACACGGACCAGACUCCUACGGGAGGCAGCAGUGAGGAAUAUUGGUCAAUGGGCGCAAGCCUGAACCAGCCAUGCCGCGUGCAGGAAGACGGCCUUAUGGGUUGUAAACUGCUUUUACAUAAGACUAACCGUAUAUUUGCGAAUAUACCUGAAUGUAUUAUGAGAAUAAGGAUCGGCUAACUCCGUGCCAGCCGCUGC